rnacentral:rRNA from 1 species
UACGGAGGGGGGCUAGCGUUUGUUCGGAAUUACUGGGCGUAAAAGCGCACGUAGGCGGCUUUUGCAAGUUUAGAGGUGAAAGCCCGGGGCUCAACUCCGGAAUUGCCUUUAAAACUGCAUCGCUAGAAUUGUGGAGAGGUAAGUGGAAUUCCGAGUGUAGAGGUGAAAUUCGUAGAUAUUCGGAAGAACACCAGUGGCGAAGGCGACUCACUGGACACGUAUUGACGCUGAGGUGCGAAGCGUGG